GUAGGUGAACCUGCGGAAGGAUCAUUAAAGAGUUAGGGUCCUAGUGGCCCAACCUCCAACCCUCUGUUGUUAAAACUACCUUGUUGCUUUGGCGGGACCGUUCGGUCUCCGAGCGCGUUAACCUCCGGGUUGGCGAGCGCCCGCCAGAGUCCAACCAAACUCUUGUAUUAAACCAGUCGUCUGAGUAUAAAAUUUUAAUUAAAUUAAAACUUUCAACAACGGAUCUCUUGGUUCUC
rnacentral:misc_RNA from 1 species